UGUUUGCUUUUCAUAAUGAGUCAUCAAAUAUAGCUGAUGCUCUUUUCAGCGUCAGUGUUUUGUGAGACCAAAAAGUAUCGUCAAGCAACGGAUCCUGUCUUCAGUUGGGUCAGAUUUGUUUCCGGAGAAGAAUGACAAAGACUUCCACAGAGAACUUCUUCCUUGAGCUGACAGAGAUUUUGAGCUACAUAAUCAGAGCUUAAAAUGGAAUUGAAAUAGCUCCUCUGCUCCCUAACAUGGAAUGAAUUAUUCUGGAGGAAGUGAAUGAAAAUGUUGCAUGGAUGGGAUUUGAAGAAGAUGCAUAUCUUCUGCAACUAUUUCUUCUGUUGGACUCAUCAGCUCAUUGACAGCAUGAUGGAGCCAUUAAUGUGGUGCUUCUGACAAUCUUCAUUUCUUCCUGGAACCUCAUAUUUGAGAGAACAUAUUCUGUCUUCAACUACUUCGCUGGACAAGGCAGGAGAGGAAAUCACCCCAGGCAGAAUGUGGCUGGCAUAGCACACGCCACUGCCUUUUCUUAAGGGAAGGCUCAGCGCAGAAAUGCUCCGAAGACUGGGUGCUGUUCUUCUUGCAAGCUUCCACAUGGGGGCACAGACGGUUCACUCUUGCAAACCUCUCCGUCGGGCUGCAGGAGGAAGAAAACCUGAGCCUUAACAAGCACAGAUGUUUCUGGCACCUCUCUAUGUGUGGGAUGUGUUGCACCUCCAGAGCAUGCUGUUCUGCCCAGUGCCUUGGUACCCAGAAGGAACUGCAAGUUACCUGAACAUGUAUGUCCAUCUUCAUUUUAUUUUAUUUUUUUUUUGACUGGUGAGCAAAUGAAUUACAGCAUGUAUCCACUUUAUAGAGACACAGUAGUGCUUGUUAAAUGGGAAGGAAGACCUUGGAUUUCCUCACUUUGCCCACCACAGUGCACAAUAAAAAUUACACCCCUUGAACCUUCAUGAACAUAAGUUUGCUUCCAGAAAUCUGAGUGAAGGAAUCCCUUGGACAUGAUCUGCCUCUGGCUGCACAGCCCCAGGGAGUAGGUCUUGCUCCCAUUGCAGGUUGGAAGACCCCUAAGAGCGACUGAGCUCCCAUCACACUUGUUGGGUAUUCCCCUGGCAUGCACUUAGAAAAUCUAAAGAAGAACUCAAAGAAAAUAAUCCAUAAACUGUGAGCAGUGUGAAGAGGUUUGUCCAGUAAGCCUGGAGCAAGUUUCUAUCAUCAAGAUAACCUGUUCAACCUCCUCUGGUUCCUGAAGUGCCCUUGUGGGAAAGUGCUGCCAAUGUUAGUGUUUUCCUGCUGAGACUGAAAGCGUUGGAAAAAGCAUCUGUGAAAUGAAAUUACAGCUCUCAAUGCCUUCUACUUCAUCUUGAGGAGAUUUCAAGAGAUACCGUGUAGCCACUCUCAGUAAUUUUUAAUCCACUUGCUCCUGUGGAAAUUAAUUAAGAGAUUAUGAAAACAGCGGUGUUUAGGGGUGUCAGCUUAAGUCAUGCUUUCAGCAUGAGUUCAUGCUCAGUCUAACAAAAGCAAUGAGAUCCACUGUACCUUCUGAAAUGAAGAACCCGGUAUUAAAGAGUUGGAAGGUUUUAAUAAGAGAACUGUAAUGAUGUCCUAAGUUUCUAUAUGCACAACUGAAAUGUUUGGAAUUAGCGUUGUGAUAAGAGUUCAGACAACAUUGUUAGGUUUGGAGUCAUCAUGAAAGAGAGGCAAGUUGAAUCACCUCAUGGUUCAUGUUUUAUGGCAGAUAUAAUUCACUUAGGGACCUGGAUUCCAGCUGUUAAGAAAUGUAAAAUAACCAAAGAUAACCUUUUUUUCUAAACUGAAGUAGUCCAAGAGAACAGAGUGCCUCACCCAUGAAGAGUAGGUUCAGGUUAGUUGGACCGAAGAGUCUCAGGGUGUACUGUGGUCCAAUGCCUGACCUAAAGGGCUGGCUGGUUGGUGCUAGAUUUUACACAACUGCUCUUCUUGAAACUGCUAUAUCAACUGAAUAUUUUCUGGUGGCAAUUCCACCAAUGAGAGAAGUCAGGAGAAUAUUGAUUUAAAAUAAAAGCAACAAAGCUGUGAAGAGCCUGGAGCACAAGCCUUCCAGAGAACAGCUGAGGGAACUGGGAUUGUUCAGUCUGGAUAAGAGGAGGAUCAGAGGAUACCUUAUAACUCUCUAUGAUCAUGUGAAAGGAAGUUGUGUUGAUGUGAGUGUUGACCUCUUCUCCCACGUAACAGCAAUAGGAUGAGAGGGAAUAGGUUUAAGUUGCACCAGGGGAGGCUCAGGUGGAUAGUUGGAAAUUUUCUUCUUAGAAAGAGUGGUGAGGUGUUGGAGCAGGCUGCCUAAGGAGGUGGUGAAGUCAUUAUCCCUGGAGGUGCUCAAGAAAUGUGUAGAUGUGACACUGAGAGACAUGGUCUAAGGCAUUUAUAGGCAGGGGUUUAUGUGUUGAUGGUUGGAAUCGACUGUCUUGUGGUCUUUCUAGCAUUAAUGAUUCUGUGAUUUAAACUCUACUACUGUCUGAGUGUCCACAGAAGGAGGGCAGGAAAGCAAGCGAUGUGAAUGGUUAAACUGACUAGGUGAGAAUACUGUUUCAAGAACUAAGAAAUUUCGCCUUCUACACAGCUUUUACUGUUGUCAAUCAGUUUACUUGAUGUGAACGAGUUUACUUGAUGGAAGUAUGGAAAUGAUCAAAUACAGGGUAUUUAUCAUGCAGAUACUGCAACGUUGUACUCAGGCUUUAUAGUGUAUGUUGAAACACAGAUAGUCACUUGACAGGAAAAGAAACAGCAAAUAUUAAAGAGCACCCACCACAACCUUUGAAUUUUUAGUUCAGGAUAAGUGUAAAGACAAAAAUCGAGUCUCUAAGCACAGGUUUAAAUCCAACCUCAAUGGCUAAUGCAGAGGAGAUAAACGUUUUAUAACCUGUGCAAUGCAGCUGUUCACAAAACCUCAUUCACCUACUGGGAGUGCUUUGGGGGAAAUGAUCAGUUACCAAGUAGCAAGGAUUAAAAUGUUCAUUUCAAAGUAGAUAUUUCUGCUCGUGUAAGGAAAAGGUGUUGUUUUUUUUCUUGAGGCUUCUAAGUUCCCUUAAAAACCAACAAAAACUGUUCAUUAAAUCAGUUAAAAUUUGACCUUUAGUUUCAGUGAAAAGGAGAGUUGAAAAACAUUUGGAAAAUGCAGAUUUGUAAAUGUUAAAUUAAGAGCUUGAAGUUCACAUGCAACUAAAUUUAACACACAAAUUAAAAGCAGAAGAGAUAUUGAAAUGUUGCAUUCGACUUACGCGAUAAAAUGAAGGCUAAAGAUUCAGGAAAAAUUCAGUCCUUUUUGAAGGAGAGGAGUAUCCUGAGUAAAUUGCUAAGAAUUCCUUUUUCUUUCAACAACUGAAUUAAAACUCACCAAUGGCCACUAGGAAGCCAAUCAGUCUGACACUGUGGUUCUGUUCAGAGGGGUAAAAAAAGGGGAAACGUUUAAAACUUUGGUGUAGAGAGGUGUCAGGAAAAGGAUUAAAGAGAAAUAGUUAAUGGAUUCACUUCUGAUUUAUUUUGUGGCCAAUAUUAUUGGCAUGUCUCUGUCAGUGCUUUUGACAUGGCACAUAGCCAAUGCAUAGGCAUUGUUCUGUGCCUCAGAAGGGGAUGAAAACUUCUGCACGGUAAAAGAAUAAGGGAAAGAAAAAAGACCAAGAUGGAGCAGAAUGCAAAUACAAAAUGACCUUGUUCUAUAUACGGGAUGGGACUUUGAGCACAUGGCUAUUGCCACGAUGACUGCUUGGUUAUUGCUGCUGCCUAGGUGCAGGCAAACAUCUGGUUUGAAGGGAUGCCAAAGUUUAAUAGUGCUUUGUGUGCUUUUAUGUGCUUUGAAAGUCAGGUUCAUCCAGGAUCGCCAAGGAUCCUCCAGUUUUUGCUGUAAGUAUUUAUAUGUAAUCAAACUGCUUAUUUUGUAUGAAAGGUAAUUUUAGGACACAUAUAGAAGAUACCUACUAAAAAAACAUACUUUGUAAUUAUGUAUCAGGGAAUUAUUGAAAAUAAUUAGUAGAUGUGUAAAAUAUCAAGUUUCUGAUUAUUUUGAAUUUCUAAGUUGAAAAAGAGAAGUAAAACUAUUCCUACUAUACAUAUUUGUAAUGGUCUGUCAUCUUUUAUGCUCACCCCUAUCCUCAUAGAGUGCUGCAUACCAUUUCAGGAAAUUGGGACUGAUGUGUACAAUGGAUCUGUACUGCAAAUGAAUGGAAAUUUUAGUCAUUUCACACAGUGACUGGUUUCACAGCAUGUCUGUAAUAACAGUGCCAGGUAUUUCAUGAAAUACCUUAAUAAUGUAGGCAUUUCACGUAAGGCCCAGAUAGAGCAGUCAAAUGAUGCUGCAAGAAUACCUGUCGUGUCGGUCAUUGUGCUGAGUGACUGAAACUCAAUAACUUCACAGAACAACAGGUUACACAAGACAAGAUGCAUAUUUAUCUUCACGCCUAUGCAAUUUGCAAAGGUGGAUCCACCGAAGUUUAUGCUUGCUUAUGUCUAACCUGCUGAGCCCUGCCCUAGUUUCCUAGUCCCACUGUCAGCCUCAUGAAUUUGGUGAGCAUUCUUGGGGAGAGGAAAGCUGCUCCAGCAGCACCCAGUCCUGACAAGUCACAUGGUGAGGUUCUGCUCAGCCUUGCUGGGAGUGAGGGGAUAUAAGAAAAGCGAAGGGGACCCCAGCACUCAUGCACUAUCAGGAAACUUUUGUUUCUACCUGAAGAACUUUAUAUGUCUGAACCCAUUGGUCUGCCUGAAAAGUGCAGGGCUGAGUGGACCUGCAUGGCUUGGCCACCUAUCCGAACAAAAAGUGACCCAGACCUGCUGGGCUCUUGCACAAAAUAACAUCCAUACUUCUAGUCCAUGUCUGCUUACAGAGUAAAAUACUGUACCUGCUCCUGUGACUAACAUGUAGUGGAAAUAAUAUCUGAGACAGAAGAUGAUACGUGCAAACAACAAAUGUUGCUUUUCUCUGAUGGCUUCAGUGUUUUUCUCCUCUCAGAAUGAAAUAGCCAACAGAAGCCACUUACCACUUUAUUAUUUUCCACCAUCUCUUAAUUAUAUGAAAACGUCAGAGCUUUAUUUAAUUUUUAAUUAGCAUAAUCCAAAUACAAAGUUCAGCCUCAGCAAGGACACAAAAAUAUUGAUUACCUGUCCUUUCCACCACAGAGCCAAAAAUCACUUCUGUGCUGUGCUUAUUAAUAUAUGCUCAUAGCAAUGGCAUUGAAAUCUAUCACAGCGAUCAACCUUUAUUUUCAGUCAGUCAAUGGCCAUUGACCCAUGUAGAUAAAUUACCAUGGUGAAUUUUGCAGCUGCUUGCUCAGACUCUUCUAUCAAUAAUUUACCUACUGAAUGCUUAUUCAGUAAUGCUUUUCUCCUCUUCUUCCUACCAACAAAGCACAAACUAUGCACAGAGAUUCAAACAGAUAUAUUAUCAAGAAGCAGUUUUCAGAUUGUUUUCCUGUUCUCUGCAAAGAUGUGUGAUUCCUUUCUUAUUUUUACCUGCUGGUGUCAGUAGAACACCCAUUUUGCCAACCUGAAAGGGAGACUGACAUAGUAAUAGAGGGCACUUCAGAAAAGGAAUGUGUUGUCCUGUUGGCUACAAAACGUAUUUCUCAGAUUUAGUAGAUAAAAAUAGUCUUCCUAAGUGAUUGUUAGACUGUAACCUACACUACAACAUUUUGGUCUUGAUUUGAAUUCAAAAAUCCCAGUGUUCAAAUGGAUAAUAUUAGAUUUUCUCUGUUGUGCCUGGAGACCUUCUGCAAGUAUGGGGCCUGACUCUGGACUCUAUCAUGGAUUUUGAGAUUUCAGAAGCAAAAUCUUAUUCUGGCUCAUCAUUUAAAUAAUUUUCAACUUGGAAAAUAAUAUAAUUUCUGAGGCUGGCUUUAAGUUUCCCUUUUUGCAAUACAAAAAUUGACAAGAAAGAAAUGCAUGGCAAAAAACAAGUCACCUUAUUUGUGUCAUUCGUGUUUUUGGUUCAAAAAGGACAUGCUUUUAUGCAUCUUCAAAACUGUUUUCUGGACUCAUGUUAGGAAGUAAAGAGAAGUGCUAUCAAGCAGAUUGUUGUACAGAGCAACGCAAAGUUAAGGGAUGUAAUAUCAGUGCAAGUCUUGUGCCACUGAACUGGAAAAUCUUUGAGAUUUAGUUUUAGCCUAUUCACCCUAAAGUUAUUGUUUGAGGCAGAAUGUGAGUUCAACAGAUAAGUAUUGUGCUUGUUGUGUCUGAUGAAAUUACUAUU